AUUGAACGCUGGCGGCAGGCCUAACACAUGCAAGUCGGACGGUAGCACAGAGGAGCUUGCUCUUCGGGUGACGAGUGGCGGACGGGUGAGUAAUGUCUGGGGAUCUGCCCGAUAGAGGGGGAUAACCACUGGAAACGGUGGCUAAUACCGCAUAACGUCGCAAGACCAAAGGGGGGGACCUUCGGGCCUCUCACUAUCGGAUGAACCAAGAUGGGAUUAGCUAGUAGGCGGGGUAACGGCCCACCUAGGCGACGAUCCCUAGCUGGUCUGAGAGGAUGACCAGCCACACUGGAACUGAGACACGGUCCAGACUCCUACGGGAGGCAGCAGUGGGGAGUAUUGCACAAUGGGCGCAAGCCUGAUGCAGCCAUGCCGCGUGUAUGAAGAAGGCCUUCGGGUUGUAAAGUACUUUCAGCGGGGAGGAAGGCGAUGUGGUUAAUAACCGCGUCGAUUGACGUUACCCGCAGAAGAAGCACCGGCUAACUCCGUGCCAGCCGCCGCCGUAA
rnacentral:rRNA from 1 species